GACGAACGCUGGCGGCGUGCUUAACACAUGCAAGUCGAGCGGUAAGGCCCUUUCGGGGUACACGAGCGGCGAACGGGUGAGUAACACGUGGGUGACCUGCCUUUAGCUCUGGGAUAAGCCUGGGAAACUGGGUCUAAUACCGGAUACGACUCCGCGGUGCAUGCUGUGGGGUGGAAAGCCUUGUGCGGCUGGAGAUGGGCCCGCGGCCUAUCAGCUUGUUGGUGGGGUGAUGGCCUACCAAGGCGACGACGGUAGCCGGCCUGAGAGGGCGACCGGCCACACUGGGACUGAGACACGGCCCAGACUCCUACGGGAGGCAGCAGUGGGAAUCUUGCGCAAUGGGCGAAAGCCUGACGCAGCGACGCCGCGUGAGGGAUGACGGCC
rnacentral:rRNA from 1 species